GAAACACUUAAGAAUUUGCAUCCUGAGUAUCUCUCUUUAGAAUGGAAUAACCAAUCAAAAUGUUUUCCUUGGGGACCAAAGACCCCAACACAGUGAUAUCAGACAAGAAAGCCCUGACCCAGGGCUGCAGAGCCAGUUGAGACAAUUGAGCAAGCAGUUGAAAAGCGGCUCCAGAUGCCUGGCACGUGUGAAACACCUUCAUCAGUACUACAAGAGCAAACAAAGGAAAACCCUGGAAAAGAAUCCCUCAUGCUGGCCCUCGAUGCCCGUGACUGUGAGAACUUGUGGCUACAUGUGGAUAGCAGAGGAAGAAGAGCUUCCAAAUGCAACUUCAAAUCAUGUGGAGAGCUAAAGGACAUUCCCAUGGAGACCUCUGGAACCCAGACAGCAAAGGGCAUGGGUAAAUCUUUUUAUAGACAAGUCGGAGAACUACUGGCCUAGAAGACUUCUGAAACAUAAACCCGCUGCAUCUACAGAACCGCGCUGCCCAUGAGAAGGAAGUUGUUUCAGAUUUGUUCCUUCUUUGGGGGCCUUCGCAAUCCAAAAAUGGCUCCUCUCUGUCAGCAAAAGUAGAAGUAAUAAUAAAGCUAAAUCCAUCA